CCUACGGGUGGCAGCAGUGAGGCAUAUUGGUCAAUGGGCGGGAGCCUGAACCAGCCAAGUCGCGUGAGGGAAGACGGUCCUAUGGAUUGUAAACCUCUUUAGGCGGGGAGCAAUGCCGGGCACGCGUGCCCGGAGGGAGAGUACCCGCAGAAUAAGCAUCGGCUAACUCCGUGCCAGCAGCCGCGGUAAUACGGAGGAUGCGAGCGUUAUCCGGAUUUAUUGGGUUUAACGGGUGCGUAGGCGGAUUUUUAAGUCAGCGGUAAAAUGUCCGGGCUCAACCCGGGCCGGCUGUUGAAACUGGGGAGCUUGAGUGGGCGAGAAGUAUGCGGAAUGCGUGGUGUAGCGGUGAAAUGCGUAGAUAUGAGGAGGAACACCGGUGGCGAAGGCGGCUUACUGGACUGUAACUGACGUUGAGGCUCGAAGGCGUGGGGAGCAAACAGGAUUAGAUACCCGGGUAGUC
rnacentral:rRNA from 1 species